GAGAUAACACGAGAGAGAGAGAGAGAGAGAGAGACCCACGCCCACUCGACGGCAAUGGCGAAUACAGAUUCCCGGUUUAUUUGUUUCUCUCUCUUUUCCUUUGAAUCCUGCCGAGAGCUUCUGAACUGGUGGGUCGGACCUUGCGGAUAAGAUACUUGUAGGUUGUAACAGUUCCUGCUGCGGCCUCUUUUAAGAUCUCGGAAUGGCUGAUGGUAAUGUGUCACUCCAAAGCUUGAUUUUGACAUGUUUUGUGGAAAAAGGCACACGAGUUUCAACUAGGCCUUUGGGGGAUUUGGAGUUCAAUACUAGGGUGUUGGUUGCUUUUUGAAGAAGGUGAAGGGAGUAAUAUUACUUUAAAUGUCAUUUUCUUGAGCGGAAGGUCUAAAGGUUCCUGCUUGUUGCCUUCCUGUAAAGGAAAAGGCAUCUUUUACUUUUAAGAUGGUAGGUUUCCAUGUGGAAGGCAAUACUUGUGAACUGUACUGUGUCUCAGUAUUUGCUGCAUGAAAUGAAAGUAAUGAAAGCUAUGGUUUGUUGAGUACAUGUUGCAAGAGAAUCUCCCUGCAGCCGAUCAUGGAGGAAUCUGGGGGAUCAAAUUCCUGCUGAUAAAUUUUGAAUUGAAAGAGAUCAAGCUAGGGUGGGGACGAGUCCAGGCGGAAUGCGAAAUAAAGCAAAGUACAAAUUUUGAUUCUGGGAAUAAUAAGUGCAUAAUUAUUUCCUACUGUUAUUCUUUCUUCUGAUU